GGGCGCGUAGCUCAGUGGUAGAGCAUCUGCCUUUUAAGCAGAGGGUCGGUGGUUCGAGACCACCCGCGCUCACUA
rnacentral:tRNA from 1 species